UACGUAGGGUGCGAGCGUUAAUCGGAAUUACUGGGCGUAAAGCGUGCGCAGGCGGUGAUGUAAGACAGUUGUGAAAUCCCCGGGCUCAACCUGGGAACUGCAUCUGUGACUGCAUUGCUGGAGUGCGGCAGAGGGGGAUGGAAUUCCGCGUGUAGCAGUGAAAUGCGUAGAUAUGCGGAGGAACACCGAUGGCGAAGGCAAUCCCCUGGGCCUGCAUUGACGCUCAUGCACGAAAGCGUGGGGAGCAAACAGG
rnacentral:rRNA from 1 species